AGCAAAGAAUAGACAGCUGAGAACAGGAGCAUCUUAACAGAUCACAGUGGGAUUUGACUCAAGCUUUUUUCUGGUGGGAGGAGGGAGGCCUUAUGACUGUGCUCAUCCAUGCUCUGCUAUUGUAUGUAUGGCUACAAACUGGUAUUUAUGGUGGAAAAUCUGUCCAUUACUGACCUGAGCAGACUAGUUACUGUAGUAUCACUGCAUGGUUAACAAAGGUCGCAGGUUGCAGGGUUGAAACUGCGCUCCCUUUCCCAGCUGGCAGAGCUUAACCCCACUGUCUGUUAGAGUCAGAAUUUCCUGGAGUCUCUUCCUGGACAAACAAGAUUGCCCAAUGUAGAGAAAGCAACAGUGGUCAUCUGAGGAAAGGAGGCACUGCAGUGAUUUAAGUGAAUACAGCAUUUGGGGAAACUGGACGUACCCUGCCAUCCCCCCCAUCCCCCAGGAAAAGGAGCGCAAGGAUUGCACGACUGAUACAAGCUGAGAAACUGCGCUCUACCUAAAAGCUUGUUACCCAGCUGAAUUCCUCAUCUGAACUGCAGUUGGCUGCGGGGGUCAAGAAGAAAGACUGAGGACAGGGACAUAAUGGCAGUUGGAAGUUCGACAGUUCAUCAGAUUUGUAGUAAGAGACUUAUUGUAUGGGUAAGCCAAUAAAGCUGGUCCAGAGACAGUGACUGGAAAACAACAGCAUACCUGAUGUCUGCCCUGUAUAAUACUGCUUUUACAGGAGGAACAAGGAAAUGUGGGUCAGAAGAAACCUGUUUUUGAUUUUGGGGUAGUGGAAAUCAAGAUACAAAACAUGAGCCAAAAGAUGAGAAGUAUUACUUAGCACUUGUGCCUGCAAUAUUUAAUUUUCCCCCAUUUCUGCUAGAGCUAUGAGUGCAACAGUAAGAAUUUAAAAACAAACUGGAAAAAACCCACUCCUUUCAAUUCAACAGCAGACUAUAUUAUCAUUGACCAGAUUACAAAAUUCAAAAGAGCUAAAUACUUGGGAUUUUGGGAAGGGGGUGGGGAAGGGGAAGAGGAGGAAAAAUAUUGGGGAAAAAAGUAUUCCAGCUCCAACUGAAUUUUACCAUCUCAAAAAACCCCAGACUUUUCAAUGAUGGCUGAAGUACCAGUUUGCCUUGAUUUAGAAACACCAUUAAGAUAUUUCAGGUGACACUGGUUAAAAAGUGACAGAACCUUUCAGCUUCAAAAUACAGUAAUUUUUUUAUUAAGAAAAAAGUAAAAUACUCAAACUGGACCACUAGAUUAAGAUGCUCUUAAAAUACAACCAUGAGGGUCAAUAAAAAUGAAGUAAUUUCUUUAUAUAGCUGUAAAGAGAGGCUAUUUUAAGUAUGUAAGUGACUAGCUAGAUGUGGGUACUUCCACAACACAGUAAUGCUUCCAAUUGCUUAACCGUACCAGCCAACUGUUGAUAUGGCAGAAAUUCUGUUUUACAUUAUAGGUCUCAGUUUUGUAUCAGAAUAUCUACAGGUAUUCCUUUCUAUAUUUCUUUUGGACUUUGAGAGAUUACAGGUUUGGGGAUUUUUUGUUUUGUUUCGUUGGUUUUUGUUUUGCUUUUUAAAUUUUGAGCAUCUAAUAUUUAAUGAACACAUUUAAUGAACAUUUAAUAUGGAAGUACACACAAGAGAAGUGUAUCGGUAUCCCAGUUUUAAAAGGCAUGUUUUUCCACUUUUUCGUACAAUGAACGUUCUUUUUUGAAGUCUUGUUUCUCCUGCCCCAUGUUACAUUCUCCACUACAAUUUGUUAUUCAGCUGUGCAGACUUCAAACACCGAUAUGUAGUGAGUCAGGUUUAUUCAUCAUUAUCUGUAAAAAGCAGAGGGAGAGAGACGGGGUGAAAAGGAGUGACAAACACACACAAUCAAGCUGAGCUUACAAAAUGAACUAGAAACCACAAUUUAGUAAGCAAUGCUACAAGAAUUCAUUAAAUUGGUCACCAAUGAGAUGACUGUUACCAAAACUGGCUUGAAAGCACUAUGUGUACAAAUACUGAACAACAUGUCAUCUUUCUUGGAUUAGUGAAUUUAAGAUAGUUUCAUCUCAAGUGGCCUGCUUCAGUUAGAACAAUCCUCUUGGUAAAGAGCAAUAUAGAUUUUUUUUUUUUCUAACUUUUCUUAUUUCAAGGGUAUAAAACUUUUGAGACAGAAGCUCAUGAACAUGCUUCUGACUGUCACUUGUCCUCUAUUCACCUUUAUUAGCACAGGAUUUUUCCUUUAAAUAUCUGAAAUUUAAAGAACUGCUUUAAAUGUAGUUCUUUAUGUACUUUAGUACUAAAGUACUAUGUAUACUUUAAAUGUCUGAAAUAUAAAGAACUUUUUCUUUACAUUUUCAUAUGCUACCACAGAUUUGUAAAAUACAGAGUUAGAACUGAAGCUAUUAAAAAUAGCCACUUGUUAAUCAGCAUUUUGCAAGAUGAAAGUCAGCUUAUUUUAAUAGGAUUCACUCAGACAACAGCUUACAAUUUGUAUGCCAACAUUUCAGCAAAUUGUCAUUUAAGCCUUUCAGUACUAGUUUUAAAAUAUCCUUAAGGCAAAGUGGCAAGGAAAAGAAACUAGUAACACUAUAGUUACCAUUUUCUUCUCGUUCUAUAUUGCCAGUCCUUUGGACACUUGAAAAAUGAACUGCUAGAAUAUAUCUUUCUAAUUCUAUCAUUAAAUCAAUAAAUUGUGGUUGAAAAAAUA